rnacentral:tRNA from 1 species
GUCCCUGUAGCUCAACUGGAUAGAGCACCAGUCUUCUAAACUGGAGGUUGUGCGUUCGAGUCGCACUAGGGACGC